rnacentral:rRNA from 1 species
AUCGAACGCUGGCGGCAGGCCUAACACAUGCAAGUCGAACGAGUGGCGGACGGGCGAGCAAUGUAUGGGCAACUGCCCGAUGGAGGGGGCUAACGACUGUAAACGGUAGCUAAUACCGCUUACCGUCGUAUCUGCCCACAUGGGAUUAGCGAGCAGGUGGGGUAACGGCUCACCUAGGCGACGAUCCCUAGCUGGUCUGCGAGGAUGACCAGCCAAACGGGAACUGAGACACGGUCCAGACGCCUACGGGAGGCAGCAGUGGGGAAUAUUGCACAAUGGGCGCAAGCCUGAGGGAGCAAUGCCGCGUGUAUGAAGAAGGCCUUCGGGUUGUAAAGUACUUUCGGCGAGGAGGCGUUACUCGCAGAAGAAGCAACGGCUAACUCCGUGCCAGCAGCCGCGGUAAUAC